UUGGGCUGGCUGGGAAUUGCCGGACCCCGUCCGGUCUCUGGCGCGUAAGCAGCACCCGUGGCCGCGUUGCCCUCAGGCGUCACCGAAGGGGAGGAGAGGAUUCUCAAGCGUCGGUUAACGGCGAGUGCCCGCCCUGGGCCAGGAGUGCGCCACCGUGCACUGCAGGUCAGCAGUUCAUCUGAGCCUCCUCAGUCCACCUUCUUGUUCCUCGUAAAGCUGUCUGAAGAGAGCUUUGUAAUCUCAUUAUGACCGAACUUCCCUGGGAAAGGAAGGUAGCCUCAUGGACAUGAAGGAGGACCUGGAAAUACUGAUGGCCUUGGAAUGAGCCGAGCUAAUAGCCAACUACAAUCAGUGAGAAGGAGCUGCCUGGCCUUGGCACCCAGGAGGCAAAGCAAAAACACCAAGAGAUUGGACAAGUGGACAAGUAGGUGAAGAUAUUGAGGAAGUAGAAUGAAUACCACAGCAGCGAGAAGUUACAGACCUGAGCGAUUGGCGGGCAGCAUGUUGUCUUGACCUUAAAGGAUGAUGGGCCUGGGUCCCCAGGGCAGCCCUCAGCUCCCCUGCCCUCCCCACAAAUGUCAUCUCGCCUGGAGAGAAUCUCAUGUCAGAGCUGGAGCCACCCCAGGCCCAGGGCCCCAUAGGGAGGCAUAAGUCAGGACCACAGUCCAUGACAUCCCUGAGACCUCGUCCACUCCUAAUUUUAGGAGACAAGGCCCAGUUCUAGGCAGACCCAACCUCUCUCGAGACACCACGGAGCCAAACACUAGAAUCCUCCUGAUACCUCAUGCUCCAUCUCCUCCAUGGUGUCGCUCUGUGGCCUGUUUCACCAGAGCUGCUUCUUUCCUAUAGGCACAUUGACAGGUCUGAAGGGAUCCCUCCACAGGGGUGGGGUCAGUGUGGUCUCUCCUGUUGGAUGUUGAGAAAGUGAUGGUGGAGAAUGAAGGAAACUAUGAGGUAUGACCCUUCUUUACUUGGCAGAGGCAGCGCUAAUGGGCCAGGCCUUGUCAGGAGCUUGGGGGAAGCCCAGGGGGUAGGUCAUAUGCCAUGGGGAACCCCUAUCCACUCUCAGUGCUUUCCCAGAACCUCCCAGACUUACAGGCCCUGGGCUCUCCUGCCGAGAAGGCCCUGCCCAUCUCCCUAUGGCCAAGGCCUCCAUUCCCUUCAGUUUGGCCUAGAGCAGACACUGGGUCCAGAGAUAGACAGAUGCCAUUCCAUCUCUUAGUUGGAAUCCAACUAAGGCCUCGCAGACACCUGAGUGAGGGACAGAGUCACGCAGCAAAGGAAAGAAACCAGGGAAAAAGAGCAAGGAAGCAUACCCAGAAAUCAUAAAAAGGAAAAGUAAAACCAAACGCAUGUGAAGAACAGAUCUAAGUUAAGCUGAAUAAAAAGAAAAAGACUUAAUUGAGACAAGAAAUGAGUCUUUUCCCAUCCCCCCAGCAAGGAUCCUGCACCUGGCCUCAUUCCCACAGCUCAGUCCUCAGUUUCCACCCAAGGGUCCCCUCCAGGUCACACUGCCCCAAGGAGGGUCCUCUGUGCACACUUGGCAAGUGAAAGAGCAGUGAUGUGCCCAGACUGUGUGGGACCGGCCCAGUGAAGCCUGGACACCAGGAAAUGCAGCUGGGAGGGAGUGUGACGGUGGUCACACUUCAACAAACAGCUCAAGAUUAGAUAAUUUCUUAAUGUGGUAAAUAUGUACACGUGUACAGCCAUUUAUAAUUCUGGAACAACAGCCAGCAUCAUGCUUAAUCAUGGAAUCUUCAAAGGGACCUGUAAAACUGGGGCCAAGAGGAGGGUCUAGUUACUAAUCAUGGAGCUUAACGUCGUGGUCCUGCAAAUGCGGCUCCGUGUGAUGAGGCAGGAUAAAUAAGAUGUUUAGAGAAGAGGUGGGGUUAUUUCUGGCUGUGGAAUGCUAUCUGGCGGGAGGGUGAGCCUGGACCCCUCCUGCUGCCUGUCUGCUGGGCUGGGUGUGGCCAGCUCCUUCCCAGGAAGGAAGGGGCAGCUCAUGGACAUGUGCACUCCCACCUGGUCCAGAAUCCAGGCCCACAGGCUCCCUGCACAGCUACCCACAAGUUUCCCUGUGCUUCAGAUAGCCUGAAUCCAUUUCUGAACUUAUUACCAGGAACCCAGCCAGAUGCCUCUAGAUACAGGUGAAAAUCCAGACAAACUGUACAGUAGCUGAUGAUGCCAUGUAUGUAGGGACACAAGGGACUUGGCUAAGAGCCCAGUUGGCAAAAAGAGAGUUGACUGAAGUAGCAGGUCGUUACUACUUACAGCAUAGCUGGUUGUAAUUUAUAUUACACAAGGAUGCCACAUCAAGAAUAAAAGCCAUUGUCUUAGUAAAUAUUAUAAGAAAAAUGUUCUAUUCACCAUAGCAUAUCAAAUAUAUCAAAAUAUUUAGAAUAUCAAGACCGAAAUUACAAAUUAUCUAACAGACAAUGAAAAGCCCCACAAAACAUGUUUUAUUUCUUAAAGACUGACAUUAAAGAACUAAAUAUUCAACUUUAAAAUUAGAAGAAAAAAUUAGAAAAAAAUAAGGAAGAAGUUUAAAAAUGCAAAAUGAAGUAGAAAACCAAAAGAUAUAGAAAACAUAAAUAAAGCCCAAAAACUGGAUAUUUGAAAAAACUAGCUAAACUCCCAACAUUGAACAAAGGAAGAGAGGAUAAAAUGUGGGGCCUUCAGAUAAACAGGGCCCUGGCCACUAGCAGGCUGAGGUCAAGAGACUUACAGGGGAAGGUUGUAUGCAAUUUGGUGGCAUACAUUUGAAAAUUGAGGAAACAGAUGAUUUCCAAGUAAAAUUGGCCCAUGUGGAAGAAAAAGAGAAGCCUUAGCUGAAAGAUAACCAAAGAAAAGAUGAGCAUGCUGUCAGUGGAGGGGGGCGGGCCACUCCGCUGCAGCGGAAGCCAUCUCCCAAAGAGGCAGGCCCUCAGCCUGGGCUCGGACCGGGGCACAGGGAAAGCUUCACUUUUAUAAAGCUGUCUGUUGAAUACCAAAAACUGGUAUCAUCCUGCUAUUCAGAAUUGUUUUGGUAGUUUUAACAAAUACAAUCAGACAAGAAAAUAAAACUGUUAACACAGAUAAGAGGAAACAAUUACCUUCAUUUGCAGGUAAUAUCAUAUACUUAGAAAACUCAAGACCUAAUUCUACAAAAACCUAUUAGUCAGAAUUAGUAAACUAAUCUAGGAAGUUGGCUGGGUACAAGAUACUAUGCAAAGGUCGAGUUUUCCUUUACACGAGCAAAAAAAGCUUGAAAAUGGGGAACGUGUAUCGGUGAGACCUAUGUGGAGCCCCAAGGAUACUCUUUUGCCUUCACAACCAGGAAUCUGAAAGGGGGGUAUCAGGGCUGUGGGGCUCCACGCUCCUCCUGGGCAGUCUUAGUGUCAGGGUGAUGGGAGCUGGUGCUGCAGAUGGGCCUGCAGCUCUGGCAGCCUUCCCUUCCCCCAGGGCCCUGAGUGGGGGGACGUCGGGUGGGCUGGUGCCAGAUUCAUGCUUGGUGAAACAGAAUGAGCAAGCGAGUAAAGAUCGGAAGGUGAAGACAGCUGGCCUCACUUCGCCUGUCCGGCUGUAGGACUCAGGAAGGUGUCAGAGAACAGAAGCCGAGCCACCCUCCCUGCCUACCCAAGUGCCCUGAGAUGUGCCGGUGCCCUGGGAGCAGGUUCGGGAGAGCAGCCCCUCAGGGGGAGGCUCAGAGCCCAGGCGGACACCGUCAUCCUGGACAGGCCCCUGUGUAGGGGAGGGGAGGAGAGGUCGGGGUGGCCUGGAUGGUGCCAAUUUAACAGUGGGGCUCUGGGCCUUAGAGGAGCUCCCGGGCUGACCAUCGGUGGUCUCCUCCCCAGAACUUCUGGCCACAGGCCGUGA